rnacentral:rRNA from 1 species
GAACCGUGCGAACGUUGUUCGGAAUCACUGGGCUUAAAGGGCGCGUAGGCGGAUCAGCAAGUCCGGGGUGAAAUCCUCCGGCUUAACCGGAGAAGUGCCUUGGAUACUGCUGGUCUCGAGGGAGGUAGGGGUCAUGGGAACUUCUGGUGGAGCGGUGAAAUGCGUUGAUAUCAGAAGGAACGCCGGUGGCGAAAGCGCAUGACUGGAUCUCUUCUGACGCUGAGGCGCGAAAGCUAGGGGAGCGAACGGGAUUAGAUACCCCGGUAGUCCUAGCCCUAAACGUUGGGUACUAGAUUGCGGAUCUGCAUGGGUUCGCAGUCGAAGCAAAAGUGUUAAGUACCCCGCCUGGGGAGUAUGGUCGCAAGGCUG